rnacentral:lncRNA from 1 species
CAAGCUUGGCAGGAUAUGAACUUUUAACAAAAAUGGGGCACAGUUGUACUGCCAUGGCUUCUCGGUUUGAUCGGGGAGCAGAAAGACUUGGUGUUACGGAAUAGAACAAUGCAGCUAUGGCCUGGCAGCAUAAAGACUAUAACAGUGACAAAUUCAAGAAGAGGAGGAAGAGGAAGAAAAAGAAGAGGAGGCAGAGAAAGAAAGGAGGAAGAAGAGGAAGAGGAAGAAAAGGUAGAAAGGAGAAGGGGACUCACUACAGCAGCCACCUUCUGAGUCAGCUCCUCCAGGGACGCAAGCUGAAACCCAGGUGUCUUCUAGCUGAGCGGUUGAACGCUGGCUGGGGUGGGGUGGGGGAGGCACACGACACGAACGGUCGGACGGACAGACACGCAGGUGUUCCUGCGACCAGCUCUGUGCUGUGUCCAGUGUGAGCAAAUGAAGGUCUAUAGGCAGAGAGGGGUAGGUGUCCAGUG